UGCGUAACGUUCGCUUGCGCGUCCACCCAUCGCAGGCGGAGUGGUUAAGAGGAAGCCGGUGAACCGUGCCUCGGGCGCGGAAUUCCGGCGCUUCCCCGACAACUGUCAGCAGCGAGCUGCUUCCGGACAAUCGUCACCGGUGCAUUUGCAUCGGGAAGACGGGAGCGAGCGACGAGCUGCGAGCCGAGGAGAUCUGCCGUGAAUACCUGAACGUC
rnacentral:ncRNA from 2 species